rnacentral:rRNA from 1 species
AAUCUUAUGUAUAAUAAAUAUAAGAUGAUUUCUGCCCAAUGAGUAAAUUUACUUUAAUGGCCGCAGUACUUUGACUGUGCUAAGGUAGCAUAAUAAAUUGGCUUUUAAAUGAGGUCUAGAAUGAAAGAAAUUUUGGGUAUUAAUUGUCUCUUAAUAACUAAUUGAAUUUAUUUAUUAGGUGAAAAGACCUUAAUUUUUAAGAAAGACGAGAAGACCCUUAGAAUUUUAAAAUUAGUAUAAUUUUACUUUUUUUUUUGUUGGGGUGACAUAUUAACAUACUAAACUUAUUUUAUUACAUGCUAGUUACUUUUCGGUUAGAAAAAAUUACCUUAGGGAUAACAGCAUAAUUUUUUUUUAAGAUUAUGACCUCGAUGUUGGACUAGGAACCUAAUAAUUAGUAAUUAAAUUGGUUAGUUCUGUUCGAACUAUUUUCUCCU